rnacentral:rRNA from 1 species
UACGUAGGUGGCAAGCGUUGUCCGGAUUUACUGAGCGUAAAGGAUGCGUAGGCGGAUGUUUAAGUGAGAUGUGAAAUACCCGAGCUCAACUUGGGUGCUGCAUUUCAAACUGGAUAUCUAGAGUGCAGGAGAGGAAAGCGGAAUUCCUAGUGUAGCGGUGAAAUGCGUAGAGAUUAGGAAGAACACCAGUGGCGAAGGCGGCUUUCUGGACUGUAACUGACGCUGAGGCAUGAAAGCGUGGGGAGCAAACAGG